rnacentral:rRNA from 1 species
GUGGGGAAUUUUGCGCAAUGGGGGAAACCCUGACGCAGCAACGCCGCGUGAGUGAUGAAGGCCUUCGGGUCGUAAAGCUCUGUCAGAGGGGAAGAAGUGUGGGGUGGCUAAUAUCCAUUUCACUUGACGGUACCUUCAAAGGAAGCACCGGCUAACUCCGUGCCAGCAGCCGCGGUAAUACGGAGGGUGCGAGCGUUGUUCGGAAUUAUUGGGCGUAAAGCGCGUGUAGGCGGUUUUUUAAGUCUGAUGUGAAAGCCCUGGGCUCAACCCGGGAAGUGCAUUGGAAACUGGGAGACUUGAAUACGGGAGAGGGCAGUGGAAUUCCUGGUGUAGGAGUGAAAUCCGUAGAUAUCAGGAGGAACACCGGUGGCGAAGGCGGCUGCCUGGACCGAUAUUGACGCUGAGACGCGAAAGCGUGGGGAGCAAACAGGAUUAGAUACCCGAGUAGUCC